UGGGGUGUGGCUCAGCGGUAAAGUGCUUACCUCCCAGGUUCGAGGCACUGGGUUCGAUCCUCAGCACCACAU
rnacentral:tRNA from 1 species